UACGGGGGGGGCAAGCGUUGUUCGGAAUUACUGGGCGUAAAGGGCUCGUAGGCGGCCAACUAAGUCAGACGUGAAAUCCCUCGGCUUAACCGGGGAACUGCAUCUGAUACUGGAUGGCUUGAGUUCGGGAGAGGGAUGCGGAAUUCCAGGUGUAGCGGUGAAAUGCGUAGAUAUCGGGAGGAACACCAGUGGCGAAGGCGGCGACCUGGGCCAAUAUUGACGCUGAGGUGCGAAAGCGUGGGGAGCAAACAGG
rnacentral:rRNA from 1 species